rnacentral:lncRNA from 1 species
GUGGGCGUAGGACCCUCCCAGCCAGGUGCCGGAUAUAAUCUCGUGGUGCGCCGGUUUUUAAGCCCGUCGGAAAAGCGCAGUAUUCAGGUGGGAGUGACCCGAUUUUCCAGGUGCCGUCUGUCACCCCUUUCUUUGACUAGGAAAGGGAACUCCCUGACCCCUUGCACUUCCCGAGUGAGGCAAUGCCUCGCCCUGCUUCAGCUCGCACAUGGUGCGCGCACCCACUGACCUGCGCCCACUGUCUGGCACUCCGUAGUGAGAUGAACCCGGUACCUCAGAUGGAAAUGCAGAAAUCACCCAUCUUCUGCGUCACUCAAGCUGGGAGCUGUAGACCGGAGCUGUUCCUAUUCGGCCAUCUUGGCUCCUCCGCUCUAUUUGCAGUUCUUAAAGGCCAAGUCUCGCCACAUGGCAUCAUUUCCUCCUCACCUGCAGAAUCGCUGUGACUUAUGGCUCCUCUGAUUGCACCUGCUUUCACCAGCAGCCCUGGAAGAGAGCUCUUCUGUGUGGAUAAGAGUUGAGAGAUCUUGGUUUCAUUACUUGUUUAAAUUGGACCCUCUCAAAUGAAUGUAAGCACAUAAUGGGGGGACUACACUAUGAGAUUAAAAGGAAU